rnacentral:rRNA from 1 species
UACAGAGGGUGCGAGCGUUAAUCGGAAUUACUGGGCGUAAAGCGUGCGUAGACGGUUAUUUAAGUCGGGUGUGAAAGCCCCGGGCUCAACCUGGGAAUUGCAUUCGAGACUGAAUAGCUAGGGUACGGUAGAGGGAAGUGGAAUUUCUGGUGUAGCGGUGAAAUGCGUAGAUAUCGGAAGGAACAUCAGUGGCGAAAGCGACUUCCUGGCCUGUUCUUGACGCUGAGGCGCGAAAGCUAGGGGAGCAAACGGG